AGAGUUGCAGAUUUAACUGAUUGAACCACUCAGGCACCCAUACCAUUUCUUUUACGUGGAUACAGCAUGAAAGCAGCCAUCUAUCUAUAAGCCAGGAAGAUUGCUCUCACCAGAACCUGACCAUGCUAGCACCCUUAUCUCCAAUCUCCAGCCUGCAAAAUGGUCAGCAGCCUCCAUCACUUCCACAACUUCUUUGCCCAGCCAUGCCGCAGUUGGCAAUAUGGCCAGAAACAUCUCAGCUUCUGGAACAAAGCUAUUGCUCACCGUGUCAUUCAAAUGCUGGAGAGCAAGGAUAAAGGAAGUUGGCUUUGGUGACACAGUUCAAAGGAGGGACUCCCCAGCAGCAGAGGUGGAACCAACAUAGGACAUCUUCUGAAUGUGAAUCCUCUCACUAUGUAAGAGCUGUUAUAUUGCUACAAAUGGUCUCUCUGGAGUAAAUGUUUUCACCAGAAGUCCUAGACAUUUUGUAAUGCAGUCCUUCCAAAGUAUCCAUUGGUCCUUGGCUCUCUACCCCAUCAAGCUUCUUUUGUAGGACUCUUUGUUUUGUACCAUUUGAAGAGAUAAAUAAAUAAACUGAAGUCAUCUUUUCCUUAAAA